rnacentral:sRNA from 1 species
GCCGGGCGUGGCGGUGCACACCUGUAAUCCCAGCAGCUCGGGAGGCUGAGGCAAGAGGAUCACGAGUUUAAAACCAGCCUCAGCAACUUUGCAAAGCCCUAAGCAACUUAAUGAGACCUGUCUCUA